UUGGACAAUGCCUACAUGGAGAAGUGUGACGAGAACAUCUUGUGGCUGGACUACAAGAACAUCUGUAAAGUGGUGGAGGUGGGCAGCAAGAUCCAUGUGGAUGAUGGACUGAUUUCCCUGCUGGUGAAGCAGAAAGGUGGUGACUUCCUGGUGACAGAGGUGGAAAAUGGCAGCAGCAAGAAGGGUGUAAACAUUCUCAGGGCUGCUGUGGACCUGCCUGCUGUAUCAGAAAAGGAUAUCCAGGACCUGAAGUUUGGGGUAGAGCAGGAUAUAGAUAUGUUUGCAUCUUUCAUCCACAAGGUGUCUGAUGUCCAUGAUGUCAGGAAGGUCCUGGGAGAGAAAGGAAAGAACAUCAAGAUAAUCAGCAAAAUCGAGAAUCUUGAGGGAGUUCGGAGGUUUGAUGAGAUCCUGGAGGCCAGUGAUGGUAUCAUGGUGGCUCGUGGUGACCUAGGCAUUGAGAUUCCUGCAGAGAAGGUCUUUCUUGCUCAGAAGAUGAUAAUUGGGCGGUGCAACCGAGCUGAGAUGCCUGUCAUCUGUGCCAUGCAGCUGCUGGAGAGCAUGAUCAAGAAGCCUCACCCCACCUGCUUAGAGGGCAGCAAUGUGGCCAAUGCAGUCCUGGACGGAGCUGACUGCAUCAUGCUGUCUAGAGAAACAGCCAAAGGGGACUACCCUCUGGAAGCUGUUCACAUGCAGCUCCUGAUUGCCCCUGAGGCAGAGGCUGCCAUCUACCACUUGCAAUUAUUUGAGGAACUCCACUGCCUGGCGCCCAUUACCAGCAACCCCACAGAAGCUGCUGCCAUAGGCACCAUGGAGGCCCCCUUCAAUUGCUGCAGUGGGGGCCAUAAUAGUCCUCACAAAGUCUGGCAGGUCAGCUCACCAGGUGGUCAGAUACUGCCCACGUGCCCCCAUCAUUUCUAUGACACGGAAUCCCUAGACAGCUUGCCAGGCCCACCUAUACCAUGGCAUAUUCCUGUCUUAUGCAAGGACCCAGUCCAGGAAGCCUGGGCUGAAGAUGUGGACCUCUGGGUGAACUUGGCCAUGGAUGUUGGAAAGGCCCGAGGCUUCUUCAAGUCAGGAGAUGUAGUCAUUGUGCUGACUGGGUGGCGCCCUGGCUCUAGCUUCACCAACACCAUGUGUGUAGUGCCUGGGCCGUGAUGGACCCCAGGAGCCCCUCUUUCAGCCCCUCUACUAGUCCCUUCCCCAGACCCAUCCAUUAGGCCAGCAACGCUUGUAGAGCUCACUCUGGGCUAUAGUGUGGCACUGGUGGGCUGGAACACCAGGGAGAAGAUAAUGCCGCUGUGAAACAAGGCUGUUUGUAGACCCUGCUCGGGUGGGGUAGCCCUGAGCCUGGCUUGCCCAUCAUUUGGCCCCACCCAAGCAAGGAACAAAGGAGGAAUACAAGACUGGAAGCCCCAGAGCCUAUGGCAAGAGGGCAACAGCUCCCUCUCCCUUGUGUUCUUGGUUUCUCCUUUCUGCAGAAAAUGGAUGCCCAGAGAACUCCCAGCCCUGGCCUGGGAUCAGGAGACAGCCAGUAAGAGUAGGGGCCUUAGGGCAUGGGGCAGUGAUUCCAGUUGAAGCAGUCUCUGGCCCUUACGUGCUUCCCUAGAUCCAUGGCCUCCCCUACUCCCACCUUGUGCGCUGUGCUCUUCUGUCCUGCGCUCUGCUCACCUUUUGCUA